AUUUAUUUAAUUGUUGAAAAAAAAAAUCCAGUCUGGUGAAAUGUUCCCACUUACAAUGCCCACCAAUGUAUGGUAUGGAAUAAAGAAGAAAUAAAUUGCCUUGUUCCUUCAAAAGUAUCGAUUCGCAAAUUUAUUUCGCAAUUGUGCACAUUCUUCGCCAUUUUAAUCGUAUUAACGGGAUCGAAAUUAGGAAAAGUCGAGUGCAUAUUUGUAGGAGUGCAUUUUGCUGUACAAAAAUUUUAUUAGAAAGCUGGUGCCAAUAAAAACAUUGUGGUGGUUUGGGAGGUCUUUACUUUGAGGGAGACCUCCGCAAGACCAGCGUGCAUAUAAUAAGCCCAGGGAACCUAAACUUGCCCGAUAUCCUUGCGAAAGAUAUCAAAUUGCAGCGAUGUUGAGACACCUCAUAAAUGAUCAUAAGACCGCUAAAUGUUCGUAAUAUUUUAUUCACUUCUCUGGUAUAACACACGCGAAGAUUUAUAAUAAAAUACACUACACAUUAUUAAAUAAAAUACACUUGUAGUAUCGACUACAAGCGGAAGCUCUGAACUUGCUACCUUACGCUAGCACCAGUGAAAAUAUACCUAACGAGCUUUCAAAGCUCAAAGCUCGGAGUGGCGCGUCUCGAACUACUUCGACAGAGUGCACUACUCGUAAGCAGUGCUGCCACUCCGACAGGAACACAACUUCCCUCUAGGUGGAAGCUGCGGGCGCAUCCCCUACCGGUACAUAUGCCCCGCUUCCAUUGAAACAGCGUGGACAUCGGAGAUGCUGGUACAUUGAAGCCAAAAAUUGGCCAAUCGGACAACGGACGGUAGGGCCCCUCUGCCCCGCUUCUAUGAACCCGCAGCUUCCAAGAUGUUGAAUAGCUAGGUUCUUCGGCAUCCAUCCAUGACUUCCAACAAGUCGAAUUUUCAAUUUUUUUUUUUUUUUUUUUUUUUUUUUUAAACGUCUCUGCUGUUUUUUCACGGCACUAGCGACUUAAAAUUACCUUAGAUGCAAACAAUUUGUCAUAUAAAUAUUAAAACAGGUUACAUCUUAGUCGCUAAAGUGCUACAAAAUUCACAAACACAAAAUAUUUACAUAAAAAGCAGAGAAAUGUACAAAUUCAAAAUAGAUAAAAAAUGAAUCAAAAUCUACAAUUGUGCAAAAAACACGCGCUGAGCUGCGUAUCAACUGGUUCGAUGUAAGGCCAAAACUGCGCCAAAAGCUUUGCCAACACGAGAUCGAUGAACUCUUCUGCUGGAGCAAUUAACAGGUACUUUUUUAAUUAAUUACGCGUUCCGAAUCGUAUUUCUUGAUGUUGAACUAAACAGGGACUUUCUUCUCUUUCUACAGCAACUUUCCCGGAUUCAAUCAGCAUCGAAAUAAGCUCACUGGAGCCAAACGGGGAUGACUGUUUUCACCAAGGGCAAACGAUCCAAAGUUCAUUGGUAAUUCCAAUUGAUCAGAGAUGCCGGAAAAAUACUCCGAUGACCGGAAAAGCAUCAGAGAAAUUACAGCCAGCUGACAUUUUUCCAAAUUGGAAGUUUUCGGAGCUGGAACCGGAAUCCUUUUUUAUCAUCUCUGCUGCAGUCGCAAUUGUGUCACACGUGUAUCCAAGUUGAUCGAUGGAAAACUGGAUCGUCGCGAAUUGUCAAUUCCAGGAUUUGGAGAAUUAUUUUCAGCCGUCAUCUCAUAUAAUCGUCGCAUCCGUUCAGGUAAUAAUUCAAGAAAUUCAUCCGAUAAAUAUUCCAAAUUAUUCGUAGCCAUUAUCGAACUUUGUAACUUCUCUGUUUCAGGUACGUGGUACAAGCUUUUACAACGUUCGGCGCUUGACCUUGAGCUUUCGUGUCAAGCUUGUUCAACUGUGCUCGGUUUUUCCAAACCAAAGCUUGUCGAACUUGGUAUGAAAGCUCUAUUUAUUACGCGAUUUUCGACACUUUUUCGCGAUUUUUUCGAGAAUAAAAACUCACGUACCUGUUCUGAUGAACGUUGCGGUCGCCAAGUUGACCGUUGGUUGAUUGUUGCAGUCGCCUGGUUGACUGGUUGGUCGCCUCGUUGACCAAAUUGGACCGAAAUUUUUCCGAAUAAACGAUAAAAAAAAUUCGCGAUUUCUUCGAAUCGUCUCUGUGAGGUGAAACCUCAAAUGGAAAACUAGUUUCCAAUGCAAUAAAUUGCAAUUUGCGUCUUACGAGCGCAAUUGUAGGCUAGGCCUGAGAACACGCGGUGUGCCUCGUUUUCGACUAAAACGUCUCUGCUUGCGCCUAAAUAUUGCAAUAAAUGCAAUUUUGAAAAGCCCUGGGUUAGAGAACCACGCUUGGGCGCCAAAUAUGUGGUGGUUUGGGAGGUCUUUACUUUGAGGGAGACCUCCGCAAGACCAGCGUGCAUAUAAUAAGCCCAGGGAACCUAAACUUGCCCGAUAUCCUUGCGAAAGAUAUCAAAUUGCAGCGAUGUUGAGACACCUCAUAAAUGAUCAUAAGACCGCUAAAUGUUCGUAAUAUUUUAUUCACUUCUCUGGUAUAACACACGCGAAGAUUUAUAAUAAAAUACACUACACAUUAUUAAAUAAAAUACACUUGUAGUAUCGACUACAAGCGGAAGCUCUGAACUUGCUACCUUACGCUAGCACCAGUGAAAAUAUACCUAACGAGCUUUCAAAGCUCAAAGCUCGGAGUGGCGCGUCUCGAACUACUUCGACAGAGUGCACUACUCGUAAGCAGUGCUGCCACUCCGACAGGAACACAACUUCCCUCUAGGUGGAAGCUGCGGGCGCAUCCCCUACCGGUACAACAUCGAUAAGCAAAUCAUGAAUGGAAAGGAAUGAUAUUGAAAAACAGCAUUUUUCUGAAAGUACGAGGUAGGUUUCAAGUUUUCAGAUCAUGUAGGGUAAAGUACCCAGUGGUUGCACCUUUUUGAACCAAAUUUCCAUGUACCAUAGUUCUUAAAAAUUUCCAUAUUCUGCCAAUCUUUUUUUUUCUCAAAUUUUCCAGCAGAACAUUUGGGACUGACCUUCUGCUACAUUUUGAUCCACAUUUCACCCUAAUUCAUCAGUAUAAUUAAUCUGUGAAGUUUAUUUAUCGAAAAAACUGCAUUUUUUCCUCAAUUAAAUUGACACACGAUUUCCAGUGAUUAACAACCCAGUGGCUGACACAUUUAGAACCUAAUUUCCAAACGCUCUCGAUACCUUUUCCCAAACAAGCACCCAUUGAUUGAAAAAGGUGAUUGUCAACCACUGGUACCCUGUCAACAUGGGUAAUUCAGCCUACUUCGACUGAAGAAAAUAUGUACCUACCACAAUAUUCUUGGCAGAAUUAAAAUUGACUCAAUUUUGGGUCCAAGAUUAUUCAAAAAAAUUAGCUCAAAUAUCCUAAGCUAUGCAAAAUUUUUUAUCUACAUAUGUACAUACAUGUAGGUACUGCACUACCAUAAUUCUUUUUCCACUUUGCUCACUUUGAGGUUUAAAUCACCAAUGAUAUGAUUGUUUUAAUGCGUUUCUGGUUCAACCACGUCCCUUUCCUCCAAUCAUUCUACCUAUUUCAACCAUCGAACUGACGCAAAAAUUGAACAGCCAAAGUACGAGUAACACAAAAUUACAAAAUUCCCUUACAGAAUAUCAAGCUUAUCAUUACUUUGUACAUAUGUAUAACUACAAGCUAGUGUAUAUAGAAAGUAAGUACGUUGAUUACAUACGAGUACACAUGAAAUCAGACAAGCGCCCAAGGAGAGGUUUAAAACAAAACACAGUUCAGUUUGUAGGUACAAUGGUUUCGGAGAAGAAAAAACUGUACCCUUCGCAAUUAAAUUAGUAAAAUAGUAAAAUGAAUAAAAGGUUCCGCACGAAUAUCACUUAUAAAAUACGCUUCAGUCUGAUGACUAGACUGACGUCAGAGCGUAAUUGUUGCAGAAGUAAUGCGGUGUUACGAGUCUGCAGAAGUAGAAAAAUCUCUCGAAUACGUAUGUACCUUGAAGCAAACUGUUAGAAGUAAACAUACAACGGCACGGGAAACAAAUUUGAUAAAGAAAAUAAAAAAAGAGCUAACA